UACGAAGGGGGCUAGCGUUGCUCGGAUUGACUGGGCGUAAAGGGCGCGUAGGCGGUUCGUACAGUCAGACGUGAAAUUCCUGGGCUCAAACCUGGGGCGUGCGUUUGAUACGUGCGGACUUGAGUGCGGAAGAGGGUCGUGGAAUUCCCAGUGUAGAGGUGAAAUUCGUAGAUAUUGGGAAGAACACCGGUGGCGAAGGCGGCGACCUGGUCCGAUACUGACGCUGAGGCGCGAAAGCGUGGGGAGCAAACAGGA
rnacentral:rRNA from 1 species